UAUCGUAAAUCAUGAGAAGUUUCAACGCAACCCAAACGACGACCAAAAAUCAUUGUAGAUAACGCUGUUACAUUAAUAAAAGAUGGAAAUAUUGAUUAUUGCUUAACAUAAGGAAUCAGUAAUUGGAAAGUCUAUCAAUCAUUUAACCAUCUAAUCAAAUAUGCUUUUGGUAAAACAUCACAAGCCUGGGAUUUUACAAAUUGAAAUAUUAUGGAAAAGGCUCGGAUAAUCUUAAAUGUAUGCUCGGUAAUCGACUGGAAGCAAGUAUAUUCUAAUGGCUUUUCUACUCAAUAAUUAUUGAAAAUUUGAAUCCAUGGUCAAAGAAAGCCAGAAAAGAAAGUGAAUAAGACUUUUGGAAGGCAAAAGAAAGAGAAGUCAAGCAGAAAAAGAGAACCAGAGAAAGCAAGUGUCCCGAAAAAGGAAAGAAGCAAGAAAAAGCAAGGAAAGAAGGAAAGAAAAGUGAAGAGAAAAAGAAAGAGAAAGUAAUGGAAACCACGACCAUGACCAUGACCUAGAGUCUGGUAAAGUAAUAGAUUUCCUCUGCUAGACGGUUUCCCCAAUUUAUCUUCUUCUUCUUCUUCUUCAAAAUUACCUAGAGAAGAGCUUCUUAGCCUUGAGAAAAAAAGGUUUUCUUUAUAACUCUCACACUUACAAAAGUAGAGCCCAAGAAGAAAAGUUAUGGAAGAUUGAGAACCAUUUAGAGGAAAAGUUAAAUCUUAAAGGACAUUCUCUCUGUGUCCAUGUGAAUUUCCGUUCUCCUGUGCAAACCAAAGAUGUAAGUUUUUCUAGAGAGUGGUCGGAACCUGUGAAAUUCACUCAUCACGCACUAAAUGUCCAUUUUAUGUAAAAUACCAGUUUUAUUUUAAAACCUUUGCAUUUAAUUUACGCAGAUUUUCAGCCAAGGCGAGGAUUGGUCAGAAAAUAGAAAAUUAAAAUUAAGUCAAGACGAAAAGUACAAAUAUGCAAAGUUUAUCUGGGAAGAUUGUCACUGGGUUAAGAUUUUGGUUGGCAUUUUAAUAACAGGUAUUGCAAGCAGGUCGAUGUGAAAUAAAUAAGGCCGCAACAGAGGUUGAAUACAAGAAUAAGUAAACGCAUGGUUGGCCUAAUUGUUCCUAGAAUUUAUAAGACAAAGGUCAAUUGAUAAUGAUGAUGAUAGUAAUUAUGAUCAUUUCGUAAGUGGAUAUCAUCCAGGGUUGACCUUGAAUCUUAUCACUGGGUGAAAGUUUUCUCUCUUCUUCUCUUCAAGAAAAUUAUCUUUGAAUAGUAAUAACAUGCAAUUUGAGCACAUCGAAUUUACAAAAAUCUGAGAAUCAACGAGUUUGGCUUUUCUUAUGCCAUCAUCACAAUUAUCAUCAUCAUUAUCAUCUUACAAGUCAAGCUCAUUACUUAUAAAGAGAUGAUUACCUUGGAUUAGCUUUCAUCCUUUGCACUCAAUCAAAUACUCAUAAACUGCGCAGCAAAAAAAAGGAACCAAAAAAGUUUCUGUUUUCUGGACAUCGAACCAGGUCACAAAAAUUUUAUUUACCUAAACUUUGACAUGAAGCUUUCAAGGUUAGUCAUAUUUAUGCAUCAUUCAGCUGAAUUAUCCAAAGCCCGAAGGGACAACAUCAGAAUGAAUUUAUCGCUUUUUAAUGCCUCUCUAAGUUUUUGGUUUAAGCAUACAGCAAUGAUAACCAUUUCUUGAAACAAUGCAAUGGGAUGAACUUUUAUUUCAGCUAGAAGAUAGCUAAUCAUUGAUUUCAAAAUCUACAGAAAGAAUGGUGAUUACAUUUUGAAUUGGUAGUGUCAAGUAUAGAAUAUUGCUUUUCACUUUAUUCAAUAACCUUAAUUUGCUUUCAACUUGGACCCCUUUCUAGACUGAAAACCAGUUAAACUACAACUCUAUGAUGACCAAUAGCAUUCAAUUGACACACCUUGAAGUCAAAAGUAACUGCAGUGAAAGUCAUGCAGUGGUUUGCAACUUUAAAAUCAACCUUGAGUGUUAUCAUGGAAAAUCUUGCUUAAGAAAUUUCAUAUUCAGAAUUCUGUAAGCACAUUCCAAGACAAAGGAUUCAAAUUGAGCAAGAAAAAUAAACUUACAUUCAAUAGACCAGUUAUAAAGCUCUCUUUCCAGUUGAGUUAAAAGACCUGAGCGACCAUUUUCGUCUUUGUUGGACUCAACCAAACUGCUCCAUUUAUUUAAUACAUCAGUUACGACUUCGUUGAAUGACUCAGUAUAUUCCGAAAUUAUGGGUUGCGCUAAGAAUACCUUGUUCAUUCCUUUUCUUCGCCUUUCCCACUCUGGUCCAUCC